AUGCAGAGUAGCCGAACAAAAAUUCCUAAGAUUGGGGCUUUACAUCCACCAUAUGUGGAUGUGGAUUCUGCGCAUGCUGAUACAAGUACGCUCAACAUGCAUAAAGUACCUGCGGCUUGCCACACAGCUGGAAACACCACAAAUCGCCGCCCUAAAAUUGUUCCUGGAGUAGCAGGUUUGCAUCCUCCGAGUCGUAAGCAGCUAGGUGUGGGUGAUCAUACGCUGCCUCCACGUCCACCUUCAUCGACUUCAAAGCAACAACAAGUGCGCAACAAUACGUCAAAGAAAUUGCCGGUGCACCCGAAACAUGACCCGCUGCUGCACAAAUCAGUGGUUACGCCUCCUUGUCCGAUACAACCUGACGACUGCAUAACUCCAGAGGAGAAUCGAAAGUAUAUCCAUGUGAGUGUAAUAAAUAGAUGUUAUUGCUACAUUUUCAUAGUCAAACUACCUCUUGUUUACAAAGCAGUACAAAUGUAG
rnacentral:rRNA from 1 species